rnacentral:pre_miRNA from 1 species
ACAUGAUGAUCAUCAUGAUCAUGAUGAUCAUCAUCAUGAUGAUGAUCAUCAUGAUGAUCAUGAUCAUGA